AAGACUAUAGACCUGCGGAGUACCUGCGGAGGGAUCAUUCACAAUAAGUGUUUUAUGGCACUUUAAUUCCAUAUCCACCUUGUGUGCAACGUAGUUCGUUUUUCGAACAAAACAUCAACAUUUUAAUUAUCAACAGAUCGUCUGAAGUAUUAUAUGAAUAAAUCAAUUCAAAAUACAACUUUUAACAACGGAUCUCU
rnacentral:misc_RNA from 1 species